CCGUCGUGGCCAGUCGACGCAGGCCUGUUGCCAAGGGAAGUUCGCACACCAUUCAGAGCAACACUGCAGACUUGUCCUUGUACCCGGCAACUAAUAAAAUAGGAACAAACUUCAGUGAUAACUUGACAAAAUGGGUAAGGAAAAGAUCCACAUCUCCAUCGUGGUGGUGGGCCAUGUAGACUCUGGCAAGUCCACUACCACUGGCCACUUGAUCUACAAAUGUGGUGGCAUUGACAAACGUACCAUUGAAAAGUUCGAGAAAGAGUCGACAGAGAUGGGCAAAGGAUCCUUCAAAUAUGCCUGGGUUUUGGACAAGCUAAAAGCAGAACGUGAACGUGGUAUCACCAUCGAUAUUGCCCUCUGGAAGUUUGAAACCAAGAAGUUCUAUGUCACUAUCAUUGAUGCUCCAGGGCAUCGUGAUUUCAUCAAGAACAUGAUUAAAGGGAACGUCUCAAGCUGACUGUGCUGUUCUGAUUGUUGCUGCUGGUACUGGAGAAUUUGAAGCUGGGAUUUCUAAGAAUGGCCAGACCCGUGAGCACGUCCUCCUGUGCUUCACCUUGGGUGUGAAGCAGUUGAUUGUUGCUGUGAAUAAGAUGGACAGCACGAACCAAAGUACUCUGAAACAAGAUUUGAAGAAAUCAAAAAGGAACUUACUGCAUAUGUAAAGAAGGUGGGUUACAACCCAGCUAUUGUGCCCAUCCUCCCCAUCUCUGGCUUCAAUGGAGACAACAUGCUGGAACCAUCUGACAACAUGGCCUGGUGGAAACCAAAGAAGAUUGAACGCAAGAAUGGCUCAUACGAGUACCACACAUUAUUCGAUGCUCUAGACAACAUUGAUCCCCCAAGCAGACCUCUGGACAAGCCCCUUCGUCUUCCCUUGCAGGAUGUCUACAAAAUUGGUGGUAUCGGUACAGUGCCCGUUGGACGUGUUGAAACCGGUAUCCUAAAGCCUGGAAUGGUGGUGAACUUUGCUCCAACUGGCCCCACUACAGAAGUAAAAUCUGUAGAAAUGCACCAUGAAGCUCUGGUAGAAGCUGUUCCAGGUGACAAUGUUGGUUUCAAUGUGAAGAACGUUUCGGUGAAGGAUCUGAAACGUGGUUUUGUUGCUUCAGACUCUAAGAACGAUCCUGCCAAGGAGGCCGCUGACUUCACUGCACAAGUGAUAGUUUUGAACCACCCUGGUCAAAUCAAUGCUGGGUACACACCUGUGCUUGACUGCCACACUGCUCACAUUGCCUGCAAGUUCUAUGAACUUCUGGAAAAGAUCGAUAGGCGUACUGGUAAGGUUCUGGAAACUGGACCAAAGACCAUAAAGUCUGGUGACUCUUGCACUGUUAAAAUGGUGCCCAGUAAGCCAAUGUGUGUAGAGACCUUCCAGAAGUAUGCUCCUCUAGGACGUUUUGCCGUACGUGACAUGAAGCAGACGGUCGCCGUAGGCGUUAUCAAGGAUGUCAACAAGAAGGAAGGUGGCGGAAAGACUACAAAGGCAGCAGAGAAGGCCCUCAAGAAGAAGUAACCUACAUCUUAGAGACCAUAAUAGGUUUACUGCGUUAUCUAGUCUUUAAGAUGUAUGGUUUUUAUAAGAAUAAACUUGAGUAAGGAGUAAACAUUCUCAUUGUCUUUGUAUUACUAGGGACAAUAAAUUCUAAAUUGGAUGGCAUUAAAUUCCACUGGAAUUUCAGUACCAUUUUUGCAGUUACUAUGGCUUAAUCUUGUUAAAUUUACAAAUGUAUCGGUUUAGUAGAAAGCAUUCCAGCUAGCUUUGAAAUAUAGAAUUUAAAAUGCCUGACAUGGUAUGGCAAAUAAAAUUGCUUAAUUACCAGAUUUGACUGAAUAUUGACUAAUAACAAACUGAAUGUACAGAAAAUAAAGUUCAGUACAUAUUUAAAAGGCUAACUUCCAUAAACUGCAAGCAUUCUCACAUUACUCAUAGUAUGUUUAAUGUACAUUCCGCUUAUUUAAUUUCAUUCAAAUGUCAUUCAUAAAUGAUUGUACUUAUGAUUUUAAUUAUAUCCAUAGUAUAGUAUGUCAUUUGCUACCUUUGUACAGUAGCUGGGCUUUUUAAAUGUGUAUAUAUGCAUACCUGUAUGUAGGUACUGCCAAUGUCUGCUAAUGCCAAAUUCUUGCGCUUAAAAUUAUAAUGUACAAUAUCAUUUAUGAAUAAAACUACUAGAAAA